rnacentral:rRNA from 1 species
GACGAACGCUGGCGGCGUGCUUAACACAUGCAAGUCGAACGGAAAGGCCCUGCUUUUGUGGGGUGCUCGAGUGGCGAACGGGUGAGUAACACGUGAGUAACCUGCCCUUGACUUUGGGAUAACUUCAGGAAACUGGGGCUAAUACCGGAUAGGAGCUCCUGCUGCAUGGUGGGGGUUGGAAAGUUUCGGCGGUUGGGGAUGGACUCGCGGCUUAUCAGCUUGUUGGUGGGGUAGUGGCUUACCAAGGCUUUGACGGGUAGCCGGCCUGAGAGGGUGACCGGCCACAUUGGGACUGAGAUACGGCCCAGACUCCUACGGGAGGCAGCAGUGGGGAAUAUUGCACAAUGGGCGGAAGCCUGAUGCAGCAACGCCGCGUGCGGGAUGACGGCCUUCGGGUUGUAAACCGCUUUCGCCUGUGACGAAGAGUGAGUGACGGUAAUGGGUAAAGAAGCACCGGCUAACUACGUGCCAGCAGCCGCGGUGAUACGUAGGGUGCGAGCGUUGUCCGGAUUUAUUGGGCGUAAAGGGCUCGUAGGUGGUUGAUCGCGUCGGAAGUGUAAUCUUGGGGCUUAACCCUGAGCGUGCUUUCGAUACGGGUUGACUUGAGGAAGGUAGGGGAGAAUGGAAUUCCUGGUGGAGCGGUGGAAUGCGCAGAUAUCAGGAGGAACACCAGUGGCGAAGGCGGUUCUCUGGGCCUUUCCUGACGCUGAGGAGCGAAAGCGUGGGGAGCGAACAGGCUUAGAUACCCUGGUAGUCCACGCUGUAAACGGUGGGUACUAGGUGUGGGGUCCAUUCCACGGGUUCCGUGCCGUAGCUAACGCUUUAAGUACCCCGCCUGGGGAGUACGGCCGCAAGGCUAAAACUCAAAGGAAUUGACGGGGCCCCGCACAAGCGGCGGAGCAUGCGGAUUAAUUCGAUGCAACGCGUAGAACCUUACCUGGGUUUGACAUGGAUCGGGAGCGCUCAGAGAUGGGUGUGCCUCUUUUGGGGUCGGUUCACAGGUGGUGCAUGGCUGUCGUCAGCUCGUGUCGUGAGAUGUUGGGUUAAGUCCCGCAACGAGCGCAACCCUUGUUCACUGUUGCCAGCACGUUAUGGUGGGGACUCAGUGGAGACCGCCGGGGUCAACUCGGAGGAAGGUGGGGAUGACGUCAAGUCAUCAUGCCCCUUAUGUCCAGGGCUUCACGCAUGCUACAAUGGCUGGUACAGAGAGUGGCGAGCCUGUGAGGGUGAGCGAAUCUCGGAAAGCCGGUCUCAGUUCGGAUUGGGGUCUGCAACUCGACCUCAUGAAGUCGGAGUCGCUAGUAAUCGCAGAUCAGCAACGCUGCGGUGAAUACGUUCCCGGG